rnacentral:rRNA from 1 species
UGGGGAAUUUUGGACAAUGGGCGAAGGCCUGAUCCAGCCAUGCCGCGUGAGUGAAGAAGGCCUUCGGGUUGUAAAGCUCUUUUAGUCGGAAAGAAAGAGUUGCAAUGAAUAAUUGUGAUUUAUGACGGUACCGACAGAAAAAGCACCGGCUAACUACGUGCCAGCAGCCGCGGUAAUACGUAGGGUGCGAGCGUUAAUCGGAAUUACUGGGCGUAAAGGGUGCGCAGGCGGUCUUGCAAGUCAGAUGUGAAAGCCCCGGGCUUAACCUGGGAAUUGCGUUUGAAACUACAAGGCUAGAGUGCAGCAGAGGGGAGUGGAAUUCCAUGUGUAGCAGUGAAAUGCGUAGAGAUGUGGAAGAACACCGAUGGCGAAGGCAGCUCCCUGGGUUGACACUGACGCUCAUGCACGAAAGCGUGGGGAGCAAACA